rnacentral:lncRNA from 1 species
UCUGUGCCCUGCCCCCAGAGGUGGAGCCUACAGAGGCAGGCAGGACUCCUUGAGCUGUGGUGGGCUGGGCCCAGUUGGAGCUUCCCGGCUGCUUUGUUUACCUAAGCAAGCCUGGGCAAUGGCGGGCGCCCCUCCGCCAGCCUCACUGCCGCCUUGCAGUUUGAUCUCAGACUGCUGUGCUAGCAAUCAGCGAGACUCCGUGGGCGUAGGACCCUCCGAGCCAGGUGCCGGAUAUAAUCUCGUGGUGCGCCGUUUUUUAAGCCCGUCCGAAAAGCGCAAUAUUCGGGUGGGAGUGACCCGAUUUUCCAGGAGGGGGAGGAGCCAAGAUGGCCGAAUAGGAACAGCUCCGGUCUACAGCUCCCAGCCUGAGCGACGCAGAAGACGGGUGAUUUCUGCAUUUCCAUCUGAGUGAACAUAGAUUCCUUCAGUAAAUAUUGGGAAAACAUUUGCUUCAGGCCCAUUACUGGGUACCGCUUUGAUACAGAGGACACACCAAGGAACAAGACAGAUAGGACCUCUGCCUCUGGUAAGUUUGCAUUCCAGAGGGAGGAGAAGACAAUAAGCAAGCAAGCCAUCAAGACCACGUCAGAUGAGACGAAUAAAGUCAGACAGCUUCCAAGGAGUGGAUGCUUAUGGAGAGAUCACAUGGAGCCUUGUAGCUGAUUUAUAAUCUCAUGGUCCUCAUUCAUACAUCAAACCCCUGAAGGCCUGGCAUUUUUAUCUCCCGACUCAACCUGCAUGCUACCAGAAGCUCGACAAAAUUACGCCUGUUUAGGAAAAGACUGGAGGAAUUCGUGGAGGAAUUCUUGGAGGGGGAACACUGAAGUCCGGUGAGUGGUCCUACAAAAACACUUGAAGGGAUUGAGUUCCAGCAAGAAGAGGAGAUUGGCAUCUAAUUUCCUGUUGGGUUAUGCUUAUGCAGCAGUCUCUGAUCUAUAUUCUGUGACUAUUGAGAAGGAGCAAAGGCUAUUGGAGGAAGGUGAUGGAGUGAAAAAGGGAAAGCAGUUGAGCUUCCUACAUGCUCCAUGCUGUGGCAAGAAAAAAAAUGUGUAAGUUUCCACUAGGUCAAGAGCUGUCUUUUUGCUUAUGGGGUCCAGCCCUAGAGGGGAGGAAGGCUCUUAGGGGCAAGAGAGUGAAGGGUGAACCAUGAGUGGGGCAGCUGUUUAGGUUAGAAGUUAGAAGUCUUCCUGAAUGGAACUCAUCUCCCAUGUUAGGAGCUGGGACUUCUGUAGACCCCAUUUGUGCCCCCACUAGAGAGUCAGUCCCUGGAUACCUGCCUUACCAGGGGCAUCCACUGGCAAGAGAUGAUUGCAGUAGCAUUUCAUCAAUAUGAGAAUUUAUGAAUUCAUGUCCUUCUUUCCACCAACACCCAUCCAAGGAAAAGGAGGUGUAAAAAAGGAGGAAGUAGAGAAGAGUGAAAAAGCUGACCUUGUUUUUCCUUCUCUCUCUUUUUUUUUUUUUUUUUGCGACAGAGUCUCGCUCUGUCACCCAGACUGGAGUGCAGUGGUGCGAUCUUGACUCACUGCAAGCUCUGCCGCCUGGGUUCACGCCAUUCUCCUGCCUCAGCCUCCCGAGUAGCUGGGACGGACUACAGGUACCUGCCACCACACCCGGCUAGUUUUUUUUUUUUUUUUUUGUAUUUUUAGUAGAGACGGGGUUUCACCGUGUUAGCCAGGAUGGUCUCAAUCUCCUGACCUCUUGAUCUGCCCGCCUCGGCCUCCCAAAGUGCUGGGAUUACAGGCGUAAGUCACCGCGCCUGGCCAAAAGCUGACCUUCUAUUCACUUCCUGUUUCAAGGAUGGGACAACUGGAGGGAUAGCUCUUUCAUCCUCCAGCAGGCUAGUCUGUGUAUGUUGUAAUAACAAUGGCAGAGGUUCAAGCUCUUUUCAAGCCACUGCCUGCAUCACAUCUGCUUGGAGAAAGCAAGUCACAUAGCUGAGCCUAGAAUCCAAACGAGAGGACACCACACAGUGACAUGAUCAAGGGCAUGAAUACAGAGCGGGUAAAGUACUGGGGUUGUUGGUGCAUCUACCACAGCGGUUGUGGAGGUAAGUGGAAGAGGUGGGACCAAACCAGGUUUGGCUUGCCUCUGAGGCCUGUGGUCUUCCUCUAGGCUCAGCUGGCUCCCUUGUACCCUUGGAUACAUCUUACAUGAUCAAGGCACGUGUUCCAAGUAGGACAAUGGCAUGACAUAUAGAUAAUACAAGGUCCAAAGCUAACAAAGUUGCUCUUUGGGUUCCCUCUCCCCUGGUGGGUUUCAUUUCCUGAGUGCAUUAGUGUCUUUGCUGCUUUGGCAGAGAGCUGAGCUGAUUCUUGGGAUUGUACUUCUGGAGACUGGCCAGUUUGCACAGUUCCAGCAUUGUCGGCCAGCUCAGACACCAUAUGGACCAGUGCUGUGGCAUUGGGUACCAGGCUUUCCUGGACAUCUUCGAAUUGGCCACUUUCCAUUGCCAAUGAGUAGAGUGCUCAAAAAAGUCAGUUAAAUUAGGCUUGGUAAAGGGACACUGCAUCUUUGAGUAAUGAGGUUGGGAAACAGGGAAAACAUUUUCCACUAGCUCAUGGCUCACUGUAUGGCAUUCCGGUUUCAUGACACUUCAUAAUAAAUCAUUGCUUAUCACUCACAUGGGAACGGAACAUGGCUCCAGUUAAGAUUCGUUAGUGAUUGUAAAGAAGCAACGUGGAUUGCUGUAUAUCAGGACUUCUUGAUCAUCUUCCUGUCCACUGUAGGCACUUUUCUAUCGUUAUAUUUACCGUAACUGUUGUUUAAAGCAUAAAUAAGUGGAAGGAAAGAGCACCCAAUAUGAAUCAUGAAAAUAAAUUUAUCUUAUUUAUGUGUUUAUGCAAGCAUUUGACAAUUAUUCUGCACAGCAGUUUGCAUCCAGGAUUGGUAGCUGCUGCAUUCAGAAAAGUUCCUUACACUUCAAGUUUCUCCCUCUCAUCCCUCCUGCCUUUAUUUUUUUAAUAAUGUGAAAUGCCAGCACAUUCACAUUCAAGGAUGGGAGGCCCUGGCAUGUGUUUUAUUCAAGUUUGAGGCAUCAGGUUACUGAACCACAUCGGCCUCAAUGCUCAUGACAGAGGCCUACCAGCAGACAUGUUCGUUACAUGCAAUUCAUUCAGAGCUUGGAGGAGCAAGGGACAGUGAUUUAGAAUAGAAAAAGGAGCCAGGGGUUGGGCUGGGGGGCCAAGUGGCAAAAUAAAACCUUUAAUUUAAAGAUGCUCCAGCUGGUUGGCCACUUGGGAUGAAUGAAGACUUUGGUAGGAAAGUCCUAGCUGUCCAAGCAGACCACCCUGGGAGGUUUGUGAUUUACACACCAAAGGUUACAGGGCUUGUGGACACUUUGACAUACCCUAGAAACUUCCCGGGCUAGAAUGUCCACGGAGAAAAGACUCAGCGGGUUUGCACAGUUGAGGAGGCUUUCAGUGUUUACUUACGGAUGAACAGGAAAACACAAGCCUGUCCUUGAAAUGCUGACAGGGCUCUCGUGAUUAACUCCUGCCAAAUUGAUUUCCCUAGCUCCCCUCCCACAUGUGUGGGCCUCUCUCAAUCCCUUCCUGGUGAUUCCCAGCACACUGCAGUACCGGCACUGGAGGACUCACUCUCUCCUUUUCUUGCCUGUUCCCUCGGUGCCCACUCCUCCCCUGUCCCCGGCACUCACCUAAUAGAGACACAGUUGGGAAAGGGGUAGCCACCAGUGGCUCUCUCACUAGUGUCCGUGGAGUUGAGAUGGAGCCGUGUGUGGAGGGAGAGCAUUGUCUGGCAGCAACUUUUGUUUCUUGAGAGUUUCCAGAAUAUGCUAGAAUGUGCGACAGAGAACCACGACUAAUCAGCAAACAGAGCUCAGAAUGGAAGAUGGAGAAGGUUCUCAGGGAAACUGGGGCUUCAGUGAACCAUGACCUGUCCAUUUCUUGGGCUGAAGAGGAGAUUUGUUCAAACAUAGGGUGACUUCUCAUCCUGGUUUUAGUCCCUUGUCCUGGGAAAUGCCUCAGUCCCGGGAAAACGAUGAUGGCUGGCCACCGUACUUAAACUCUAGAGAGACGAUUCCCAGGGACGCGUUCCCUCUCUCCAAACCUCUCUUCAGUGUUGAUGGUGCCUUGGUUCCCCCAUCCACUCUGCGAAUGCCCUUGGAACACACCAGGCCUAGCUCUCCACGGGUUUCAACAGGCAGUAGCCACCAUUGGUGGAGAGACUUCUGGGUCUCCAGCUUCAUGGGUACUUUCAACUAAUUAUCUCUGCUCCUCAGACCUACCCUACAAAGUGUGUAUAACUGGCUCAUUUUACGGAUGCAGAAACUAUGGCUCAGAGGGCAUUCAGUGAUUUGUUCAAGUUCUCCCAGCAGAGCUACUUGGGUGUGACUGCCAAGCCCCUUCCCUCAUGGAAAUGAUGUACAUUCACAGCCAUUAACUUGCUUUAAGCCUUAGAAUGACAUUUGAGCAUGGGUGAGACAGAUGAUACCUGAAGAUCGGAGAGGCUAGGUAGCUUAAUCAAGGCCACCCAGGGCUCAUGGAUGGAAGAAUCGGGGUUAAAGGAUUCUAAAUCUAUGUUGCCCUUUGCAUGGACAUCUCUUUCUUCCUUCAUGUGGAAGAAAAUGGAGGCCAGAAUUUCUUGAAUUUUUCUCCUAUUUAGAGUUGAUCAAGAUGCAGUCUAAACUGUCCCAGUUCAUAUUUGAAUAUUUUAAAGUGUGUUGAUUAUACAUUAAAACGGUACUUCCCAUGUUUUCUAAAUAUUUAAAAGAUCCCUCUUAAACAUCAUGGCAGAAAUAUUAAGCUCACUUAUCAGAGUUAUAAAGGCUUUUAAAAUAUAUAUAUUUCAUGGCAUUUCAAGCAAUUGAUCACACCAGUUGGGGGAAGACAAGAGGGUGACCACUUGUAUGCAGAAAAAAAAAUACUGGCAAGAAAAUGUGGCAAGUGCUUCCAGUAAAGACGCUUCUUUGGAAUUAAAUGGUGAUGGAUGUUUAGAAACCAGUCUCAAUGCAAAACUGUAAUUUUUGCAAAUGGUUGUGUCUUGGGAUGGCAUUAACAUACUCAGUGUUCUCUAUAGAAACGAGGACAUGCUAUUAAAAAAGCAUCCAGUUCCUGCACACAAACUGAAGUUUGAUCUUAAGCGGGAUGAGAUAUUACUGCAAAUUGGUUUUUACUUCAAAAACGGUUUAAUAACAAUCACGCCCAGAGCUCAAGUGCACACAAUGCAUCACUUAAUUUCAUCACAAACCUCUGCCGGCUUAAAAACAGAUAUCGAAACGGGGGAAUACAUAUUUGACAAUGUUGUUAAGGCAAGUUUGCUAACGCUUUUUGAACAACCUCCAACUGAGGCCUAAAUGCCGGCAAUAUCCAUAAACAACUCUAGAAUGCCCAAUUAGGGAGACAGAGACAUAGCGUCCUGUCAGGGAGAUUUGCAUGGCUAAGAGUCUGAGAUCACAGAGCGAUGAGCGAUCUCUCAGAGUGAUGGGGGGUUCGCAGACAGAUGACUAUCAUUACGAUAUUACGGGGACUCACACCUUCCCGAUUACUGGCAGGAUUCAUUAAUUACCACCGCAUUUCCCUAAUAGAAUCCGUGCACUGGCUUAUCAGCACCUUCCCUCUGUCUACCUAAGCCCCCGCUCAGCAGUCGAUCACCUAUGAAAAAUUAGACAGUGCAGCUUCGAGUGGCCUAUUUAAAGGAAAAAGAAAAAUGAAUAUGGGAAGAGGAGGGGGAAAGUGCAGAAAAGAGAAGUCCAAAGCAACAGACACAGCAUUCUUUUGACAUGGGGUUUGCUUUUCCUUUUCUUCCUGGAACUGGCAUGGAAGGAGAUUAGUGGCGGUUGCAGGGAAACAUACUGUGGAGAGUAUGGGUACAGAACUGUCUCCUUUACACACACGUACACACACUCAUACAUUCCCUGCUUAAAAUCUUCCUUUAUAUUUUCAACAAAUACAAAAUAAAAUCUAAAUUCCUGCUCAUUCCUCUAACCUCAUCUACUCCUUCUUACCAGCUAAGCCCCACCUACGCAGGCAUUCUUUCUGCCCAACCCAACACACUCAACUCAUGCCUGCCUCAGGAGCUUUGCACCUGCUGAUCCUUUUCUUUAGAAUAUGGCUUGGAUAGGUCAAAUUCGGCUUGCAAUUUGUUUCUGCACAGCCCUCGAGUGGAGAGAAUGUUUGCACAUUUAAAGGGUUAUAAUGAAAAGGCUGGGAGUGAUGGCUCACGCCUGUAACACCAGCACUUUGGGAGGCUGAGGCGGGUGGAUCAUUUGAGGUCAGGAGUUCAAGACUAGCCUGGCCAACAUGGCAAAACCCUGCCUCUAUUGAAAAUACAAAAAUUAGCCAGGCAAGGUGGCACAUGCCUGUAAUCCCAGCUACUCGGAGGCUGAGGCACAAAAAUUGCUUGAACUUGGGAGGCAGGGGUUGCAGUGAGCUGAGAUCGCACUACUACACUCCAGCCUGGGUGACAGAGCGAGACUCCAUCUCAAAAAUAAAAUACGAGGCUGGGCGUGGUGGCUCACGCUUGUAAUACCAGCACUUUGGGAGGCCGAGGUGGGCGGAUCAUGAGGUCAGGAGAUUGAGACAAUCCUUGCUAACAAGUGAAACCCCAUUUCUACUAAAAAUACAAAAAACAAAACAAAACAAAAAGAAAACCUAGCCGGUUUUGGUGGCGGGUGCCUAUAGUCCCAGCUACUUGGGAGGCUGAGGCAGGAGAAUGGCGGGAACCCAGGAGGUGGAGCUUGCAGUGAGCCGAGAUCGUGCCACUGCACUCCAGCCUGGGCAACAGAGUGAGACUCCAUCUCAAAAUAAAUAAAAUAAAAUAAAAUAAAAUAAAAUAAAAUAAAAUAAAAUAAAAUAAAAUAAACAAAUAAAUAAGGGUUAUAAUGGAAAAAAAAGGAAGAAGUAAAGCAGCAGAAGUUUUACUGAUGGCUGAGAUAGAACAACUUUCCAGAUCUUCUCAAGAUUGGCUUCUCACCACUCAGGUCUCCCAUGCCACCUCCCUAAGAAAUUGGGGAACACCCAAUCCAGAGCAGCCUGUAGUUACCUUCUACACUCAAUUGCUUAAUUUUUAUUGCAGCACUCAUCACCAAUAAACAUGUAUUUGUUGUAUUUGUUAGUCUGUGACAAUGGUUCUCAGCCCUGGUUGACCAUGUGAGUCACCUAGAAAGCUGCUAAAAAUACUGAUGCCCAAACCUGCCUCAGGGCCUUUGCACUUGCUGGUCUUGUUUUUUCCCAACGUGGCUUGAGUGGGUCAAAUGUAGUUCACAGCUUGUUUUUGUGCAGCUCUUGAGCUAAGAAAGUGUUUGCAUACUUAAAGAGUUGUAAUGAAAGAAAGGAGUGAGAAUAAUUUGAUUCAAUCAAUUGAGGUUGGGACCAGGCAUUGAUACACAUGUAUUUUUAAAG